rnacentral:rRNA from 1 species
UUCCUACGGGAGGUAGCAGUGGGUAACUUGGGAAUGGUCGCCAGGCUGAGGGCUUAACGCCGCGUGUAGGACGAAGGCUUUCUGUUUGUAGCUCCUUUUCUGCCGGAUGGAUAGAGGCCGUAGGUAAUGGCUGAUCCAUGACCCUUCGCCCCGAUCGACUUCCCGCUUCCUUCUCGCGAGCCGCCCAGAAAGCUGUAUUGGCCCUCGCGUUACCCCUCAGUCUUGGCGCAUUACGGCGCCUCUGCGAUCGUUCCGCUUUCCCCUGCGUGCCCUUAGCUAAUCUGUUGCAAGGCAACCCACUCUGAUCGGCUAGAGGGUUUUAAAGGUAACUGGAACUCUCGCAUUAACGGCGAUUUCGCCAAGGACCUACAGAUACCCUUUGCGCCAUUACUCUUACUGGGCGGCUCCUGACAAUUUAACCCUAAAAUGGGGGAGGAACCGGAUUCAUUGGACCAUUGUCUGCCCACCUUAUUAUGUUGCCUUGGUGUCAGUCCAGACCG